AUGCUGUCGUCGAUGUUCGGGACGCGGCCGGCCGGGGAGCCGGACCCGCCGGAGCCCGAGCCGGAGCCGUCGGGGCGGCAGCUCUCGGACGGGGACCUGCUGGAGGAGCUGGUCGCCACCGUGGGCGCCGCGCAGGCGUUCCAGGAGUUCCGGCGGUCGCACCGCAAGGAGUGCUUCAACCUCCUCCGCUGGCUCCAGCUCGUGCUCCCGCUCAUCGAGGAGCUCCAAGAUGCGUCCCCGCCCCGCCCGCUCACCGACGACGCCCACCGCCGCCUCGCGCUCCUCAGCCGCGCCUUCCAGGCCGCCCGCCGCCUCCUCCGCUGCUGCCACGACGGCAGCAAGAUCUUCCUCGUGCGUCAUCGCCCGCCGAUUCCGUCUCUUUCCGUCAAGGGAUUAAUGGGAUUUCUGAUUCGUCGCUGGUUUUCAUGGUCGCAGUCGCUGGAGGGCGAGGCUGUGCAGGGCAGGUUCCGCGCCGUGUACGAGAAGAUCAACCAAGCCUUGGACGGCAUGCCCUACUCGGACAUCGGUAUCUCCGACGAGGUCAAGGAGCAAGUGGAGCUCAUCAACACGCAGCUGAAGCGGAGCAAGAAGAGGACGGACACCCAGGACAUGGAGCUCGCCAUGGACUUCAUGGUGGUCCUCCAGGACAAGGAGGACCGGAGCGCGGACAGGGUCAUCCUCGAGCGGCUGGCCAAGAAGCUCGAGCUACAGAGCCUGGCUGACCUCCGCGCCGAGACCAUGGCCAUCAAGAAGCUAAUCAACGAGCGCAACGGGCAGCAACCUGAGAGCACAAAGCAGAUCAUCGAGAUUCUCAACAAGCUCAAGGAAGUUGCUGGCAUCGAUGAGAAAAACAUCCUCGGCGAGGUCCAUAUCCCCAAGUACCUUGAGAAGUGCCCCUCUCUCAUGAUCCCCAACGACUUCCUCUGCCCCAUCUCCCUCGAGAUCAUGACCGACCCCGUCAUCAUCGCCAGCGGCCGGACUUACGAGAGGAGAAGCAUCCAGAAGUGGUUGUACGCGGGGCAGCGAACGUGUCCCAAGACGCAGCAGCCGUUGGCGCAUCUCUCGCUGGCGCCAAAUUUUGCUCUCAAGAACUUGAUCUUGCAGUGGUGUGAGAAGAACAAGGUAGAGAUGCAGACAAGAGUUGACGAACCUCCUGUUGAGGAGGAAGUGAGUAAGGAGGUGCUCAUCCCGUCAUUGGUGAAGGACCUCUCAUCCCCAAACCUCGACGUGCAGCGCAAGGCUGCCAAGAAGAUCCGGACACUUUCCAAGGAGAGCCCAGAGGACCGCAUACUCAUCGUUGACAGUGAUGGCAUCGCGGCCCUUGUCGGCCUCCUACAGUACCCGGACAAGAAGAUCCAGGACAACGCAGUCACGUCGUUGCUCAACCUCUCGAUCGACGAGGCCAACAAGGUCUUGAUUGCCAAGGGGAACGCCAUCCCGUUGAUCAUUGAAGUCCUCAAGAACGGCAAUGUCGAGGGCCAGGAGAACUCCGCGGCGGCGCUAUUUAGCCUGUCCAUGGUAGACGAGAACAAGGUGGCCAUAGGGGCCCUGGGAGGUAUGCCUCCAUUGGUUGACCUCCUGAAGAAUGGGACGAUCAGGGGGAAGAAAGAUGCUAGCACGGCCAUCUUCAACCUAUUGCUGAAUCACCAGAACAAGUUAAGGGCUAUCGAGGCCGGCAUCGUUCCUGUGCUGCUCAAAAUUCUCGACAACACAAAGCUCGGCAUGGUUGAUGAGUGCCUCUCCAUCUUCCUCCUGCUUGGGUCCAACUCUACAUGCCGUGGCACGAUCGGGACAGAGAGCUUCGUCGAGACGCUUGUGCGGAUCAUCAAGGAGGGGACCCCCAAGAACAAGGAGUGUGCGCUUUCUGUUAUCCUCGAGCUUGGAUCACACAAUAAUGCCCUUAUGGUGCACGCCCUCGGGUUCGGCCUCCACGAGCAUCUCACGGAAAUUGCCAAGAACGGCACAAGCAGAGCACAGAGGAAGGCAAACUCUCUGAUUCAGCUUGCCCGGAAGUGCGAAUCGUAG
rnacentral:rRNA from 1 species